AUUCUGAAGAUGACUCUGCAAGCAUGGAGUUCAUUCCAGAGGAGGUUAGAAUCACUCAGCAUGAAGAGAGGGUGUAACAGGAUGUUGUCUCUGCUGAGGAAGUGGGGCUGCCACCCGAUGGAUUGGAUGGAUUGUCGGUCAUCCCCGCAGGAGAGGCUGGGCCAGGUUGUGGUGCGUCCAACCCCCAGCCCUCUGGGCAGACCGGUUGUGAUCUAAGUCAUUUCAAGGGUUUCUCAAUGGACCGAUUGCCAGAGGUUGGGGUGUCAAGAAUUUGGGGUAUCAAGGUUAAGUACAAAACAUGGAUCUUUGUCUGACAAGACAGGCUGGCCGCUGACUGUUAAAUACUUCCCCACAAAAGGGACAAGCCCGGAGCCAGGUUACCGGCCCACACCGCAAGACAGGCUUUCUUUUAGGAAAUGGACAAAGCUCUAUGACCAGAACAAGCACUUUGGGGAAUUUAAAUUUGCUUUCCCUGACACGACUCCACUUUCAUCACUACCCCUGAACUUAAGGGGCAUCCAAACCUCAGUCUCAGCAGCUUUCAUAGGAAGUCAGAAAAUGUAUCUGGUUGUUAAAACAAUAUUGUAACGUACACACACAGUCCAUUUCCAGUCCCAGAAUUGAGACAGUUAGUGCAGAGGCCACUGGCUCAGCUGUGGAAACCAGACUGCACGGUCCAUCUGCACCCAUGCUGUCUGUGAGCCCUGGGAAUGUCGCUUCCUGUCUCUGGGCCUCAGUUUCCUUCUCUAUAAAAUGGGCUGAUGCUGUUCCUGCCACAGAGGCUGGUGGGAUUCAGGCCACAUACCCCGGCACAUCAGCGUUCCGUUGUUACACAUUUGAAUACUCCCAAGCCAGUUGGUAAACAGUUGACUCUCCGGGACCCCUUGCACGUUUCCACGACUCAGCAAUCAACGUGGAGCUGAACUGGCUGUGAAGCGUUUUGAGCACUGCCCGUGUUUGUCUCACAGCCCUCACGGGAAUCCCGGUUAAUAUACUCAAUGAGCGGAGCCCUGAAAACCCCGCCUGCCACCUCGUGCAGCUGUGUCACUGGGAUGGACACAGGAAGCAAUGUGGGGUCUUUGCUGCCAGUGAGCUCCCGGUCUAGGAGAAGAGAGAGGAAGCAUCUUUAUCUGUGUUAUCCCAGAGAUGGGUUUUCACCAUUGUCUCGUCUGGUCUUGAACGCCUGAGCUCAAGCCAUUCGCCUGCCUCGGCCUCUCAAAGUGCUGGGAUUACAGGCAUAAGCCACCAUGCCUGGCCUCAAAAGAAUUAAAACGGUUAAUGAGUUAAAACAAGAUUAAGUCUGUACAUUAUAUAAUGUAGAAGCUUCUGUGGAAAACUCCCCAGCCCUAUGUGGACGACAUCACAUCUGAUUUAUCCUUGUGGUCUACACCGCUGGGUGCUCAGCCUUCUCCUGAGAGAUGCUGUGAAACUUCUCUACCACCUGGAACAGGAGAAGGGAGGCCCAUGUGGGGGCAGAGACCUCUGUCCAGAGUCCAGUGGCAGCUGGUAAGGAUUUUUCAUGCAAGGAAUAGCUUAGAAGAGACAACAGUUAUUGGCUGAUUUUGAUGAAGGAUUAAAAUUAAAAUAUCUCAGCCACUUCCUACUCAAUGUAUCCUAUACAUUUUCUUGUUAAUCUAACAUGCAGUUUACUUUCUGGGUGAUAGCUCAUUAGUUCAGAGGAGAAUUGCUAGUUAUGGGAGAUACUACUUCCUGUUGAGUAGGGCAACUAGCUCUGCGAUAGCUUUUGCCAAUUUCGCAG
rnacentral:lncRNA from 1 species